UAGUGGCGAACGGGUGAGUAACACGUGGGCAAUCUGCCCUGCACUCUGGGACAAGCCCUGGAAACGGGGUCUAAUACCGGAUAAUACUGUGCCCCUCAUGGGGGACGGUUAAAAGCUCCGGCGGUGCAGGAUGAGCCCGCGGCCUAUCAGCUUGUUGGUGGGGUAAUGGCCUACCAAGGCGACGACGGGUAGCCGGCCUGAGAGGGCGACCGGCCACACUGGGACUGAGACACGGCCCAGACUCCUACGGGAGGCAGCAGUGGGGAAUAUUGCACAAUGGGCGAAAGCCUGAUGCAGCGACGCCGCGUGAGGGAUGACGGCCUUCGGGUUGUAAACCUCUUUCAGCAGGGAAGAAGCGAAAGUGACGGUACCUGCAGAAGAAGCGCCGGCUAACUACGUGCCAGCAGCCGCGGUAAUACGUAGGGCGCAAGCGUUGUCCGGAAUUAUUGGGCGUAAAGAGCUCGUAGGCCGGNUUGUCACGUCGGGUGUGAAAACCCCC
rnacentral:rRNA from 1 species